rnacentral:rRNA from 1 species
AUUGAACGCUGGCGGCAGGCCUAACACAUGCAAGUCGAGCGAGCGGCGGACGGGUGAGUAAUGUAUGGGGACUGCCCGAUAGAGGGGGAUAACUACUGGAAACGGUAGCUAAUACCACAUACUAUCGGAUAACCCAUAUGGGAUUAGCUAGUAGGUGCGGUAAUGGCUCACCUAGGCGACGAUCCCUAGCUGGUCUGAGAGGAUGAUCAGCCACACUGGGACUGAGACACGGCCCAGACGCCUACGGAGGCAGCAGUGGGGAAGAUUGCACAAUUGGCGAAAGCCUGAUGCAGCCAUGCCGCGUGGAGGAAGAAGGCCCGAGGGUUGUAAAGUACUUUCAGUCGGGAGGCGUUACCGACAGAAGAAGCACCGGCUAACUCCGUGCCAGCAGCCGCGGUAAUGC